rnacentral:lncRNA from 1 species
GUGGGGAACGACCAGAGCAGGAAGAAAAAGGGUAAAACCCUAAACUCCACAAAAUCUUCUAAUUGAAGGUGCAAUUGAAGACCAAACUCGGAUUUGAAUACAUAUAAACGAUCACCGAGCUAAGGGGAUCGUAAGUUGACUCUAAACAAGCUAGGUGGGAGCUUGGAAAGGAACGGGUCAAACGGAUCAUGGAUGCGAAGAAUGUUUGCGCGAACGCGAGAUGA